GUCACCAUGGGAAAAUCAGAUCUCUCACAGCGUUUCGACUUUGGGACCUUUUUCCAGCAAUUAAACCUACUGUAAGUGGGGGAAAUGCCUGUAUACAGCCACUUACGCCAGGCUCAGGUUCACAAACCUUCCCAUUCCCAAGGAAGGCAGCACACAGGCUCCUACUAGGAAUCACAGCCAAGUUCUCAAACAGGCAUAUCUCACUAGAAGUGCUUCCUAAAAGGUGGAUUGUUUUUAUUCCAUUGAAUUAAUUCUACUGAAUUACAAACUUGCCAUUUUCACUAUAAUAAGUCCCCUUUCAAAGUGUGUUGACAUUUCUGGUGGUUCUGAAUAGCUCAAAAUGGUUUGCUGGACUCUCAGAGCUGACUUGAGAGACUACUUGGAUCUGGUUGUUUUCAAAAGCUGUUGGGUGGUAGAGCCUGGGGAGCUAUGCUGCACCUGAUAGAAGAACACUAUGACAUCAUUACCACUGCUUUCGUCUUCUGAACUAGGAGAAAACAAGGUACACAAAAGAGUUAUCACAACAUGCCCAUGAGUUAAGCACAGCUGGCAGUUUUCCUGUUAAUAUUUGCUUACUUCUUGUUUCCCACCACCCCCCUCCGCCACCGGGUGGGGAGUGCAGGGUGCUGCAAAAGAUGAAGCAGCAACAAAGUUAAGAAAACACAGGACAGAUGAAAACUUACAGUGAGGAAAUUUUAAUCUGCUUACUUUAUUUUUCUUUGAAUUGGGAAAAGACUGCCAUAAUUUGAUUUUAGCAGGAAAUAGUAUUCCCCCAGUGUAUAGUUUCAGAAUGAAUGGGCCAGUCCAGCAUCUCAGAGAGAGUGACAUGGAAGCCCAGAUGCAUCUUCUGUGGAUGGUCCUUUAGAGACCUGAUGGAGGCUGAUCCCUCCUGCCCUCCAGGAAGCAUAUCUGAUGUGCCACUUCCUGCAACAAGUCCUGUACAUUCUUAUCCUCCACGCUGUCUCCCCCUGUAUUUCAUCACGAAGAUAUGUGGCUGUAUGUGUGGGACGGGGAUUCUACCUGAUGCAGCUGCAGCAGAGGCCCCAGGGCUCCCCCAAGAAGACCACCUGGAAGGCUUCCUGGAGGUGCAGGCCAAGAAGGAAGCUGUGAAGGAUGACAUCAGUGUUCAUCCAUGGAAAAAUGAGUUGUACUUCUGCUAAUGUCAAGGGCAAGACUCAAAUUCAAAAAACAUCACCACUACCGAUAAACAAAACCAAAGAGAAAGGAUUCCUUAUCAGCAGACAGUUACAGCUCCCACUAGGACACUGCCUUCUCAGCGGCUUCGGUUAUCAGAUAUUCCUGGACAUACUUUCCAAGCCAUGAAAAAUAACCAGAGCCACAGCUUUCCCAGCACUCUGACAAACGUCCAUGAGCCCCCAAAGACUGGGAAGUAAUGAUGAUGCAGCUGCGGCACCAUAGAAGAAACAAGUGAUUUCAGUCAAAGGGCCUGGACUCACGAGCUAGCAACUUUGGACAGAUUCUUGAACUCUCAGCCUCAGUUUCCGCUUCUGUAAAGGGAGAUAACUACAGUGACCUUCAGGUUAUCUUUAAGAUGCCAAUGAGCUAGUGAAAAUGCAAUUUAAUCUGUACAGAACUAAACAAAUGCUCUUUUAAUACAAAUUAAUUAAAUGCAGGCAUCUUAAGAGGUGGCUUAAGAAGACUCCUGCAUCAUCACAGGGAGUUAAAAUUCUGAGCAAAAAGCCUUCUGGAGGAGAAGCAUAGGACAGGCAGCCCCAAGACUGGACUGGAUAGAUGUUGCCGAGCCACCAACUCUCUGAAGGACCUGAGACAAAGCCAGGCCCCUGCCAUCUGCUCCAAGGGAAUGAAUAGCUUCAGACUUGGCACCUUAGAAAUGCUGACAGCUCCUGAGAGAGAAAGCAAGAGACAGGGAUUGUGAGGAAUGAAUGAGAAGAUGAACCUGAAACUGCUUUGUCAAGUGUCAAGGGCUGCACAAGUGUGAAGAGGAUGGUGGUAAAAUCCCAGAAGAAUUAAUCAUCAAGAAGAUAAUUACCAAUGGACUUAUAUUAGAGUUUAUCCAGAAAAACUACUUCAUCCAAGCCAACAAGAAUGCCAGGACAGCACUGAAAUGAAAAGGCUGGGCAGGAAUAUUUGAUAAAUAAUAAGAUUAGCAGUGUACAAUAAAGGACAGAUGGGC